rnacentral:rRNA from 1 species
GACGAACGCUGGCGGCGUGCCUAAUACAUGCAAGUAGAACGCACAGUUUAUACCGUAGCUUGCUACACCAUAGACUGUGAGUUGCGAACGGGUGAGUAACGCGUAGGUAACCUGCCUGGUAGCGGGGGAUAACUAUUGGAAACGAUAGCUAAUACCGCAUAAUAUUAAUUAUUGCAUGAUAAUUAAUUGAAAGGCGCAAUUGCACCACUACCAGCUGGACCUGCGUUGUAUUAGCUAGUAGGGGAGGUAACGGCUCACCUAGGCGACGAUACAUAGCCGACCUGAGAGGGUGAUCGGCCACACUGGGACUGAGACACGGCCCAGACUCCUACGGGAGGCAGCAGUAGGGAAUCUUCGGCAAUGGACGGAAGUCUGACCGAGCAACGCCGCGGGAGUGAAGAAGGUUUUCGGAUCGUAAAGCUCUGUUGUAAGAGAAGAACGGGUGUGAGAGUGGAAAGUUCACACUGUGACGGUAUCUUACCAGAAAGGGACGGCUAACUACGUG